CUUACCAGGCAGCAUUUAGU
rnacentral:miRNA from 1 species